GGCCCCAUCAUCUAGCGGUUAGGAUACCGCCCUUUCAAGGCGGCGACGCGGGUUCGAAUCCCGCUGGGGUCACCA
rnacentral:tRNA from 1 species